rnacentral:rRNA from 1 species
AGAACGAACGCUGGCGGCAUGCCUAACACAUGCAAGUCGAACGAGACCUUCGGGUCUAGUGGCGCACGGGUGCGUAACGCGUGGGAAUCUGCCCUUAGGUACGGAAUAACAGUGAGAAAUUACUGCUAAUACCGUAUGAUGUCUUCGGACCAAAGAUUUAUCGCCUAGGGAUGAGCCCGCGUAGGAUUAGCUAGUUGGUGGGGUAAAGGCCUACCAAGGCGACGAUCCUUAGCUGGUCUGAGAGGAUGGUCAGCCACACUGGGACUGAGACACGGCCCAGACUCCUACGGGAGGCAGCAGUGGGGAAUAUUGGACAAUGGGCGAAAGCCUGAUCCAGCAAUGCCGCGUGAGUGAAGAAGGCCUUCGGGUUGUAAAGCUCUUUUACCCGGGAAGAUAAUGACUGUACCGGGAGAAUAAGCCCCGGCUAACUCCGCGCCAGCAGCCGC